rnacentral:rRNA from 1 species
UGGGGAAUCUUGCGCAAUGGCCGAAAGGCUGACGCAGCGACGCCGCGUGUGGGAUGACGCCUUUCGGGGUGUAAACCACUGUUGCCCGGGACGAAACGCCUUUUUCGAGAGGCUUGACGGUACCGGGUGAGGAAGCACCGGCUAACUCCGUGCCAGCAGCCGCGGUAAUACGGAGGGUGCGAGCGUUGUCCGGAAUCACUGGGCGUAAAGGGCGCGUAGGCGGCUUGGGAAGUCCGUGGUGAAAGCUCGUGGCUCAACUACGAGUCGGCCAAGGAUACUCCUGAGCUCGAGUCGACUAGAGGCUAAUGGAAUUCCGGGUGUAGCGGUGGAAUGCGUAGAGAUCCGGAAGAACACCGGUGGCGAAGGCGGUUAGCUGGGGUCGGACUGACGCUGAGGCGCGACAGCGUGGGGAGCAAACAGGAUUAGAUACCCCCGUAGUCC